GACGAACGCUGGCGGCGUGCUUAACACAUGCAAGUCGAACGGAAAGGCCCUGCUUUUGUGGGGUGCUCGAGUGGCGAACGGGUGAGUAACACGUGAGUAACCUGCCCUUGACUUUGGGAUAACUUCAGGAAACUGGGGCUAAUACCGGAUAGGAGCUCCUGCUGCAUGGUGGGGGUUGGAAAGUUUCGGCGGUUGGGGAUGGACUCGCGGCUUAUCAGCUUGUUGGUGGGGUAGUGGCUUACCAAGGCUUUGACGGGUAGCCGGCCUGAGAGGGUGACCGGCGACAUUGGGACUGAGAUACGGCCCAGACUCGUACGGGAGGCAGCAGUGGGGAAUAUUGCAGAAUGGGCGGAAGCCUAAUGCAGCAACGCCGCGUGCGGGAUGACGGCCUUCGGGUUGUAAACCGCUUUCGCCUGUGACGAAGAGUGAGUGACGGUAAUGGGUAAAGAAGCACCGGCUAACUACGUG
rnacentral:rRNA from 1 species